UACGCAGGGGGCUAGCGUUGCUCGGAAUCACUGGGCGUAAAGCGCACGUAGGCGGAUCUUUAAGUCAGGGGUGAAAUCCCAAGGCUCAACCUUGGAACUGCCUUUGAUACUGGGGAUCUCGAGUCCGGAAGAGGUUGGUGGAACUCCGAGUGUAGAGGUGAAAUUCGUAGAUAUUCGGAAGAACACCAGUGGCGAAGGCGGCCAACUGGUCCGGUACUGACGCUGAGGUGCGAAAGCGUGGGGAGCAAACAGG
rnacentral:rRNA from 1 species